rnacentral:lncRNA from 1 species
AUCUACAGUGAUUUUCCGGCAAAAAAAAAAAAACAGUUUUUCUUCAUCUGUUUCAGCAAAUUUUCAACGAUGUCUUUGGGAAUCGACGCUUUCGGGUCUAGAAACCUGGGUUCGAUGUUAAACUACAUAUGUAACAAGCUCGGUACAUAUGAUUUAUAUGCACCAGCUUGAGGGGGAGUGUUAGAUAUGUAAAUAUAGUAGAACUCUAGUUAUACUAGAACUCUAGGUUAUUAGUAUUAUAUAUAUGGCUCAUUGUAUUAUGUUUAAUCUCAGUUAUAUUCUCC